rfam:Cavia porcellus supercont2_42 genomic scaffold, whole genome shotgun sequence.
ACCCUUCAGGUCACAAGCAUGAUGACUGGGUGUCCACGCCACAUGCAUGAGAUCCGUCUCCCUCAAAGCCUGUUAUGAUGUUGGUAUAUUACCUGAUUGACA